GCAUUUUUCAGCCCAUGCAGUGAGCCGGCCAUGGACAGCGGGGUUCAGAGCUGAAAAUCUGAAUUCAUUUCCCCAUGGUGGGAUGAGGUCUCUCUCACUUGAUGCCAAGGACUCAGUAAGCAAUUCAGUGCCUCGGCAUGGGAAUUAACGGUGCUGAAGGAAGUCGCUACAGGAGACGGGCUCGGGUAGCAGAGGGCCCUCUCAGCAACAUGAUGAAGCUGGCCCACUGGGUGGUCCGGGCAGGAGGAGGACUUGGAAAUACACUGCCUAGAGGAAUCCCCAGGGCAUCAGAUGGAGGAUCGGCUGCAGAGCGGAAAAAUUAUGUAAAAUGCUCCAUUCAGCCGACUUGGAAAUGCUACAGAAAAACAAUGAGAGAAGAAACCUUGAUUACAGUAGCCCCAGAAGUGAAAAUGAUCAUGGGCAACUCAGAGCUGAGGAGAUCGCCAAGAGACAAUUUAAAAGAGAAAAGAAGACAGCCUGGAACAGAACCUUCAGGUACACCCACAGUGGGGGAGAAAGGAAAUGUAUCAUCAUUCAGCAAAGGAGGAGGAGGAAAAGUAAGGGGAAAAGCAAGAGAGAUGUGUGUGGGCAGCUUAGGUGGCUCAGUGGGUAGAAUGCCAGGCCUGGAGUUGGGAAGACUUGGGUUCAAAUUUGGUCUCAGAUACUUCCUAACUGUGGGACCCUUGACAAGUCACUUAACCCCAUUUACCUAGCCCUUGCCCUUCUGUCUUAGAGUUGUUACUAAGACAAAAAGUAAGAGGGGAGGGAGGAAGACAGAAACAAAGAAAGAUAGACAAACAAAGAACCAGAGAGACACAUACACACAUGAAGACAGAGAGAGUCAAGAAAGUGCAAAGAAGUGAAUGCUCAGGAUGAUGGGAGUCAAUAGCAUCAAAUGUUGCAGAGAGGUCAAGAAGGAUGAGGACUGAGAAAAGGGCAUCAGAUCUGGCAAUUGAGAGAGCAGUUUUGAUAGCUAGAUGGUACAAUGGAGUCAGAAAGUUCUGCGUUCAAGUCCAGUCUCAGAUACUUUAUUGGCUUUGGA
rnacentral:lncRNA from 1 species